rnacentral:snoRNA from 1 species
GGCUCGAUGAUUGAAUGCCUUUGUGCAAUAUACGCUAUUCUGAGGCAAUUGAAAACAUGCUGAAAGAAAAACUAUUUUUUAUGAGAGCU